AUCAGUAUGGUAUAGUGAUUUGAACAUUAGAGUAUAAUUCUGGAGGCCAGGGUUCGAAUCCUUGCUUAGCUA